CCCGAUUGAUUCUGUCGGCGGUUAUAUGCUUGUCUCAAAGAUUAAGCCAUGCAUGUCUCAGUGCAAGCUAUACUAAAGUGAAACCGCGAAUGGCUCAUUAAAUCAGUUAUGGUUCCUUAGAUGAAAGACAGUUACUUGGAUAACUGUGGUAAUUCUAGAGCUAAUACAUGCACCAAAGCUCCGAUUCAUGACGAGCGCAUCUAUUAGAUUAAAACCAAUCGGGCUUCGUGCUCGUUUCUUGGUGACUCUGAAUAGCUAUAGCUGAUCGCAUGGUCUCGUACCGGCGACGUGUCUAUCAAGUGUCUGCCUUAUCAACUUUCGAUGGUAGUUUAUGUGCCUACCAUGGUUGUUACGGGUAACGGAGAAUAAGGGUUCGACUCCGGAGAGGGAGCCUGAGAAACGGCUACCACAUCCAAGGAAGGCAGCAGGCGCGCAAAUUACCCACUCCCGGCACGGGGAGGUAGUGACGAAAAAUAACGAGACCGUUCUCUAUGAGGCCGGUUAUCGGAAUGGGUACAACUUAAACCCGUUAACGAGGAUCUAUGAGAGGGCAAGUCUGGUGCCAGCAGCCGCGGUAAUUCCAGCUCUCAAAGUGUAUAUCGUCAUUGCUGCGGUUAAAAAGCUCGUAGUUGGAUCUGCGCCUGAGGACUCGGUCUACCCUUUGGGUCAGCACUGGGCUCCUCGGCUACCAUUUGCUGGUUUUCCCUGUGUUGCCUUCACCGGUAGUGCAGGGUGGCUAGCGAGUUUACUUUGAAAAAAUUAGAGUGCUUCAAGCGGGCUUUAGUGCCUGAAUAUUCGUGCAUGGAAUAAUAGAAUAGGAUCUUGGUUCUAUUUUGUUGGUUUUCUGACCCGAGAUAAUGGUUAAGAGGGACAGACGGGGGCAUUCGUAUCGCUGCGUGAGAGGUGGAAUUCUUGGACCGUAGCGAGACGCCCGACUGCGAAAGCAUUUGCCAAGAAUGUCUUCAUUAAUCAAGAACGAAAGUCAGAGGUUCGAAGGCGAUCAGAUACCGCCCUAGUUCUGACCGUAAACGAUACCAACUAGCGUUCCGCCGCUGGCAAACACGCCUUGGCGGGCAGCUUCCCGGAAACGAAAGUUUUUCGGUUCCGGGGGAAGUAUGGUUGCAAAGCUGAAACUUAAAGAAAUUGACGGAAGGGCACCACCAGGAGUGGAGCCUGCGGCUUAAUUUGACUCAACACGGGAAAACUCACCUGGCCCGGACACCGUGAGGAUUGACAGAUUGAGAGCUCUUUCUUGAUUCGGUGGUUGGUGGUGCAUGGCCGUUCUUAGUUGGUGGAGUGAUUUGUCUGGUUUAUUCCGAUAACGAGCGAGACUCUAGCCUACUAAAUAGUUACUGGAUACUCAAGUCCAGAAGACUUCUUAGAGGGACAAGCGGUGUUCAGCCGCACGAAGUUGAGCAAUAACAGGUCUGUGAUGCCCUUAGAUGUCCAGGGCUGCACGCGCGCUACACUGGAGGAAUCAGCGUGCUGUAACCAUUGCCGAAAGGGAUUGGUAACCCCUUGAAAAUCCUCCGUGAUCGGGAUCGGGAAUUGCAAUUAUUUCCCUUGAACGAGGAAUUCCUAGUAAGUGUGAGUCAUCAGCUCACGUUGAUUACGUCCCUGCCCUUUGUACACACCGCCCGUCGCUGCCCGGGACUGAGCCGUUUCGAGAAAAGCGGGGACCGCUGUUUCGACGCCUUUCGGGGUGGAGAUUCUUUGGUGGAAACCGCCUUAAUCGCAGUGGCUUGAACCGGGCAAAAGUCGUAACAAGGUUUCCGUAGGUGAACCUGCGGAAG
rnacentral:rRNA from 1 species